GUGCUCAUUGGAAGGGACAUAUACUAAAAUUGGAGCAAUACAGGGAUUAGCCCAGCCCCUCCACAAGGAUAACACUCAAAUUUGUAAAGUGUUCCAUAUUUUC
ensembl:snRNA U6 U6 spliceosomal RNA